rnacentral:rRNA from 1 species
UACGGAGGGAGCUAGCGUUGUUCGGAAUUACUGGGCGUAAAGCGCACGUAGGCGGCUUUGUAAGUUAGAGGUGAAAGCCCGGGGCUCAACUCCGGAACUGCCUUUAAGACUGCAUCGCUAGAACGUCGGAGAGGUAAGUGGAAUUCCGAGUGUAGAGGUGAAAUUCGUAGAUAUUCGGAAGAACACCAGUGGCGAAGGCGACUUACUGGACGACUGUUGACGCUGAGGUGCGAAAGCGUGGGGAGCAAACAGG